ACGGCUCAGUAACACGUGGACAACCUACCCAAGAGUCCGGGAUAACCCCGGGAAACUGGGGAUAAUACCGGAUAGAUCAAACUUGCUGGAAGGCUGUUUGGUUGAAACUUCCGGGGCUUUUGGAUGGGUCUGCGGCUGAUUAGGUUGUUGCCGGUGUAACGUACCGUCAAGCCUGUAAUCAGUACGGGUUGUGGGAGCAAGAGCCCGGAGAUGGAUUCUGAGACACGAAUCCAGGCCCUACGGGGCGCAGCAGGCGCGAAAACUCUACAAUGCAGGCAACUGCGAUAGGGGAACAUCGAGUGAUCCUCAUAUUGGGGGUCUGUCCACUCGUCUAAAAAACGGGUGUUAGCAAGGGCCGGGCAAGACCGGUGCCAGCCGCCGCGGUAAUACCGGCGGCUCGAGUGGUGGCCGAUAUUAUUGAGUCUAAAGGGUCCGUAGCCGGCUUUGCAAGUCUCUCGGGAAAUCCAGCGGCUUAACCGUUGGUCGUCCGGGGGGUACUACAUUGCUUGGGACUGGGAGAGGUAGGAGGUACUCAGGGGGUAGGAGUGAAAUCCUGUAAUCCUCUGGGGACCACCGGUGGCGAAGGCGUCCUACCAGAACAGGUCCGACGGUGAGGGACGAAAGCUAGGGGCACGAACCGGAUUAGAUACCCGGGUAGUCCUAGCCGUAAACGAUGCUCGCUAGGUGUCACAACAGUCGUGAACUGUUGUGGUGCCGUAGGGAAGCCGUGAAGCGAGCCACUUGGGAAGUACGACCGCAAGGUUGAAACUUAAAGGAAUUGGCGGGGGAGCAC
rnacentral:rRNA from 1 species